CUUGAAAGGCAAACGUGACUAAGCGACAAUGCGUGAACUUUACAGUAGACUAAUUUAAAGUUGAAAUACCUGAAAAAAUAUAUAUUUUAACGAAUCCAGCUGUAGGAUUGAAAUGAUUUUAAUAGACCUAGAAAUAUAUUUUUUUUUGCGCAUCAAAUAUGGUUAUUGCCUAUCAUUUAUUUACAAAGCAGUUAUUGUCGCUUAGUCACGUUUGCCUUUCAAGCGUCGAAUUAUGUAUAAUAACAUCCAUUAAAUAGUGGAGAAAUCAAUAAUAAAUUACAGUUUCCGAAGCGAAGCGAGGGCGGGUCGCUAGUUAUAUAAUAAAAGAGAACUAUUGUGUGGAAGAGAGGAUAAAUAAUGUGACUUAAUGUUCAUUAACAAAUGAUACAAGAUGAAGAUGAUGCGUGCAGCAAUUGGUGAUUACGUUGCGUAGUCUGUUCUAUGUAUUUAUUUAUUUUUUGUCUUGCCACGAUCGACCGGACGAUCGCGAUCUACCGGUUGGCCACCCCUGAUCUAGACAAACGUUAGACAAAUUCGAUAUGCCUUAGACGAAGUUAUUGAGAUAGCUCUAUAUAUGUUUGGCACUUGAAUAAGGAUUACAGUAGAGGCUAGAUUACAUUGCCAGAGCUUCCGUAGGGCGAUCGAGGCGUCUCUGGCGACGAUGACGAUGUCUCCGCCUACUCCUCCGCCCAUGGACUCCGACCCUGAGCUGCAGGAGGCGCUGGCUCUGUCUGCGAAGGAACAAGCCACAAGAGCUCAACAGUUGGAGGCAGAACAGCGGGCGCUCGAUGAAGUUCUACGUCUCUCGCUAAUAGACAAGUAACAAGACAACUGAAAAGAUCUCACCAUCCGUGCGUCCAAACCAAAUGAAGACUUAUUCCUACUAAGUUUUAUUGUUAUAUUACAUAAUAAUAUACGCUAAAUUAUUAGCAUAAUAGUAAAACUGUAAUAAUAUAAUAUGAUAUAAUCUAGUUUUUUAAGUAAUUUGACUUGUACGGUUGUAUGAAAAAUAGUUUCAUCAAGGGGUGCGAUUGAUCAUUUGUUUUAAGUAAUUAUAUCUUGACUAGAUAUUGAAAAUUUAAAUUCCGUGUAAAAUACAAUUUUAAGGUAAUGUUUUUGCAAGAUACAUACAUACAUAACUUUUUUUUUGAGUUUUGAUAGGUAGGCACGUCUGGGCGAAGAACGAAAUGAUUUUAUUGUAAAAAAAGCGUGGGGUGCAUGGUUUCAGUAGUUAUAAAUAUUUUAUGAACAGAUAUGAGCAGAAGGGUUAUUUUGAUAAUAUCCUGAAAAGCACCUCACGUUUUUUUACAAUAACAUCAAAUUUAUUAAAAUUUAUUUUCUAUUUUUUAGUUGGAUAUUCUAUAAAAGCGUAUUUUGUUAGUUUUUUUAAACUAUUAAUUAUUAAUAAAUGAUAAAGGUGUUUUGACAAAAACUGAAGUCGAAAUAUUUUUCUUAAAACAAACUGAUAAUCCACUUCACGGUAGUUAUAUCAUAUAAAUUUGACAUCUUUUAUUUUUAUUUUACAGUAAUGGUUACUAUUUAUUAAUAUGAAUUUGUUCUAUAUUUAUUGCGUUAAUAAAAUUGUUAUAUUUACUGUUUGUUAACUUUAGAUUGAUCCGAGCGACAGUUGUUAAUAGAAAAAAGGUUUUUUUUUAUCAACAGUUUUCGAUUAUCGAUCUUUUUUUGAACAAAAACUUAAACCUUUGGCGACUGUCCCGCGUAUCGUGCUACAUUUGACGGACUAUACGCUCACAUUGCGCCAUAGAUGCAUUUGCAAUAUGAACAUCUAUUUUCUUCAAAGAAACUUUUGUUUCUAGUUUUAUUUGGGGAUGCAACUUUUCGAUGAUUGAAAUGACUGUAAACUAUUAAAACGAAUCGCGAAAAUAUUGAGCUGAUAUUUUAAAAAUUCUGAACAAUGACGUCACUUCCCGAACAUUGCUUCGCAGAAUCUACCACCGGAUCUGAAUCGCGACCCUCUGCGAUGAUCCGGUAAGAAACCCUGAGCUAACUAUUUAUUAUGAUUUACAUUUGAAUGAGGACGUCAAAAGUAUUAUUCGAAGCCAAUACAAUACUGAUAAAUUGUAUAAUAAUGUUUUCGUGGUCAUCGGAUGCCCGAGAAUGUGAUGUCCGUCUACGUUUGAAUAUUGUUAAGUUAAAACUCUAUUUAACACUUAGGAACACUUUACAAUUCGUUCUUCCGCUUCGCUUCAGGUGAUCCGUUCGCUGUUUCGCUUCGACUAGAUCCGAUUUCUAACUGCCUACUUUUUUUUCCUACUUAAGCUGAUAGCCUUGAGAGGCUACAUCAGCGUCGCCUUAACUAGUCCUUCGUGUCGUCUCUGCAACGCUUUUAUAGUCGACGCUACAACUCUACAAUUAUCGAGAACAUUCCCGAUACGACGAGUAGUUCCGAUAUGUGUUUCCGCUAUUUGAUAAUAGAUGGCUUUACAGUUCUCGAGCAUUUUUGAUAUCACUAUAUAGGUCUUUUGAUAUUCGUUUCUGCUAUUCGACGACAGAUGGCGUUACUCUUAUUCGCGUAACAAUAUUAAAUACCGUGAAAUUUUGUAAAAACAUGCUUUCUCGACACCCUUUUUUUUGCCCUUGUAGGCAGACGAGCAUACGGCCCACCUGAUGGUGAGUGGUUACCGUCCCCCAUUGAAUUCAGCAAUUCCAGGGGCAGAGCCAAGCCGCUGCCUACACCUAUUGUACUUUUCGCGCAGUAAGAACCAAUACUAUCUUGAGGUCUGGCAGUUAGACUAAGGUUAUCAUUUCCACGAUAAUAGGAUCGCUGGUAUCAGAACAUCUUCUGUUUUAAUGUUAGAGUAUUGUAUCACUUCAGCAUCUCGCGUACCACACGUGCAAUUAACUUUUCUUCAGCCAAUAUUCAAUUAUAUUUAUUUUUAGUAUUUUUUUUAGGAAUAAUUAAAAAUACGUAUUAUUUAAUGAUUGUUCGACUAAGCUCUAGUACUGUUAGUAAUCAUCAGAGAUCUCUGUAGUGAAAUUUUAUUUAGACGAAAUACGCAUCUUCCAGUUGUUUUUUUAAAGAUUGUUGUUAAGAGUACCGUGUCUUGCGGUUCUGUUUGCUUAGUGCGAGCGUUAUAUUUUACAAAUUUGUAUGGAGUUUGAACGUUUGCCUACGUUUGCUGCUAGGGGCGCUGUUCCAACUCCAUACAAGUUUGAGUUAACUUUUAAGCUAUCGAGAGUGUUAAAAAAGUCGUACUAAGCACCCAGACGCGACCGACGUCAGUCCUAUGAUCAAACGAGCUAGUGACCUGUCCAACCGGGUGCGCUCGGAUGUAUGUUUUUUUUUGUCACAAAUAAGUUGGUACUGAAAUUGAUGAAGCUAAACUUUAGAAAACUAAAAGAUUCGCUUUCUUCUGUUUUAAACAAAAUAAUUGUCUAUGAAGUUGAUGUAUAUGUAAUACGUAAGCAGUUAAAAAGAAAGAAAUGAAUUUAUUUAGUUUGAGUUGAAAUAUAUAUAUAGCAAUACUUAUUAUGGCCGAUUACUAAGUAAGUGAACAUUUUCUCUGCGAGAUAAUUAAUAAAACCUUUUCGUUACUUGAGAAUCACAUAGAGAAAUUGAUUACAGAGCCAUCUAGCAAUUUUUAUUGGAAACAAAAAUACGAGCUACAUUUUAAAUAACUAUUAAAAUACCAUUGCUUCUUUUUUGUCUUCCGCGAACAAAAAUGCCAACCGUAAAUAACAUUAAAUAAUUAAAAAAAAAACGUCCGAAACAUUAUGAAAAAACGGAACUGAUUUUAUUUAACGGUAGGGAAACAUUAUGCUGGUUUUAACUGGAUUUUAAUCUUAGGCCUAGGCCGCACUACGGUUUUUCCCGCGACUGAUUUUAAAACCGCGAAAUGUUACAAAAUUGUCACGGAAAAAACCGUAACAAAAUUUGUAAUCCAUAGAACUAGGUAUCCGUGCACGCACUAUACGUAACAGCGGGCGGUUUUUUGAAACGUCAAAUAUAUUUGCGAAAUUUUGUUUCCAUAAAACUGGCUACUGAUAUCCGAUAGUAAUUGAAAAAAUUCUCUAGGGGUUUUCUUAAAUUUUGAUAUUUGUUAUGAAAGAUUUUUUUCUCAAAUCUACGUAUUCGUUUUCGUGUUUCAUAAACUCACACGGUUAAUAACCGUUGCGGUUUCACCGUAGUGCGGCCUAGGCCUUAGGCUGGAUUACUGAUAACUUUAGAUUAUCAUUGUCAAUUGUCCGAUUAAACUAUAUAUCAGUAUUGGUAAACAUUACAUAAAUUAUGAAAGUAAACAAAUUAAAUAGACAUAAUAUUACAAUUUCAAAACGGUGACUAAUUAAUUAAUUUCUAGUUGCGUAUAAAAUUUAUGGGUAUUGUUCAAAUUGUUUUAUCAAUUAAGCGUACCUCACAUACUUUCGUCGUUAUAGAAGAUUCAAAUUAUAUAUUAUUAUGAACAUUUUUAGGUUAACAAUUUUCGAUGUAUCUACCACCAAGUCUUCGUAGUUCACGUACUAAAAAUGACCUGCCCCAAUUAGAUGCCUUAAUGGCAUAAAUAUUAGACAUGCGUGUGUAUAGACGCUGACGCUAGAUAUGUAUCCACGUAAUUAAAUAAAUAAAUAAUAAAUAAAUAAAUAUUUACUAACAAUCACGCCACGUUAACUGGUCCCGUGAUAAGUUCGUAAAGAACUUGUGUUACAAGUACCAGAUAACGGAUAUAAAUGUAAGAUUUUUUAUUAUACACAUACAUAUAUUUAAUAGACAUCCAUAACCCUGGAAAAGACAUUUAUAUUUAUCAUACAAAUAUCUUCCUUUGGCGGGAUUCGAACCCGCGACCUCCUUGUGUAGUGACCAUGUCACUUACCACUACACGAGACGGCCGUUAAUUGUAUAUUUAGUGUUAGGAGGCCACGCACCGUCUCGCGUGAGGAUUCACUUAACACGUUAACUUUUUUUUCCUACCUAUUCUAGUAACCUCGAGGGGUUAUUCUAGAUUUACCGAGCUAGUAGGUGAGCUCACGGGGCUCAAACCGGAGUGUUGCUAACACUGGCCCUAUCAAGAGCAGAGCUUCGCAGAAUCUACCACCGGAUCGGAAACGCGACCCACUGAGAAGAUCCGGCGAGAAACUCAGUGGGCUUCGUCUAUGGGUUAAUUUACUAGGACGGUGACCGCUGCUUGAGGUCACGUUGACUGCGUUGGACGCUUUGAAAAGGCCCAUAUGCGACUGUUCUAGACAGAACAGAACAGUGUGCUUAGUGCGAGUUUUUUAACGUUCUCGAUAGCGUAAAAGUUAACUCAUAUUUGUAUCGAAUGGGAUCGUUUGCCUACGUUUGCCGCUAGGGGCGCUGUUCCAACUGUGCACACAGAACAGAACAGAGAUAGACAUAGUGCGCCACGUAGGACACCGGUGACCUACACGGCAGUCAAGGUGUUAACUUAACCCAAAAAAUAUUCGUCCAAGAUAAACGAAUAAAAUUCACAAUAACAAAAUCAUUUUGUAAAAGGUAAGCGUUGUCUAGCUCUUUACACAAAACGUUGUUGCAAGUACAUAUUGAUGACAGUUUAAAUUUUAAAUGACACAUGUCAUUUUUCGUAAUAAAAUACUAAAAAGUCAAUUUUUUUUUUUAAUAUUUCUCUGUCAAAAACAAAUUGCGUGAAUACGUAUCUAUUGGCACGUAACUACUGUAUACAUUAGACUAUUUGUAACUAACUGAUGAUUCUGUAAUUGUUUGUAAAAUGUACAAUUUUACUGUGUUGUUCUUCUAUGUAUGUUCAUAAUAUUCCAUAAUGAUUAUUCCAAUAAAAUUAUUUACUUUGAAUAUUU